AUCUUUGUGCUUGGGGCAAUGAUGCAGCUAGUGAGGUUCUAACCGAGCCACGUCUUUUGUUGGUUGAAAACUAUUUCCAAAUUCCCUCUUAGGCUUGGGUUCACCUUUAGAAUUAGAGAAUUUCUGAAAGAACUCUCUUCGGUGUAAAGUACUACAACUGUUAAUAUCAAAGUU
rnacentral:snRNA from 1 species